rnacentral:rRNA from 1 species
GUUAUAUGGUCAAGUGAAGAAGCGCAUACGGUGGAUGCCUUGGCAGUCAGAGGCGAUGAAAGACGUGGUAGCCUGCGAAAAGCUUCGGGGAGUCGGCAAACAGACUUUGAUCCGGAGAUCUCUGAAUGGGGGAACCCACCUAGGAUAACCUAGGUAUCUUGUACUGAAUCCAUAGGUGCAAGAGGCGAACCAGGGGAACUGAAACAUCUAAGUACCCUGAGGAAAAGAAAUCAACCGAGAUUCCCUUAGUAGUGGCGAGCGAACGGGGAUUAGCCCUUAAGCUUCAUUGAUUUUAGCGGAACGCUCUGGAAAGUGCGGCCAUAGUGGGUGAUAGCCCCGUACGCGAAAGGAUCUUUGAAGUGAAAUCGAGUAGGACGGAGCACGAGAAACUUUGUCUGAACAUGGGGGGACCAUCCUCCAAGGCUAAAUACUACUGACUGACCGAUAGUGAACCAGUACCGUGAGGGAAAGGCGAAAAGAACCCCGGAGAGGGGAGUGAAAUAGAACCUGAAACCGUAUGCGUACAAGCAGUGGGAGCCUACUUGUUAGGUGACUGCGUACCUUUUGUAUAAUGGGUCAGCGACUUAUAUUCAGUGGCAAGCUUAACCGUAUAGGGUAGGCGUAGCGAAAGCGAGUCUUAAUAGGGCGUUUAGUCGCUGGGUAUAGACCCGAAACCGGGCGAUCUAUCCAUGAGCAGGUUGAAGGUUAGGUAACACUGACUGGAGGACCGAACCCACUCCCGUUGAAAAGGUAGGGGAUGACUUGUGGAUCGGAGUGAAAGGCUAAUCAAGCUCGGAGAUAGCUGGUUCUCCUCGAAAGCUAUUUAGGUAGCGCCUCAUGUAUCACUCUGGGGGGUAGAGCACUGUUUCGGCUAGGGGGUCAUCCCGACUUACCAAACCGAUGCAAACUCCGAAUACCCAGAAGUGCCGAGCAUGGGAGACACACGGCGGGUGCUAACGUCCGUCGUGAAAAGGGAAACAACCCAGACCGCCAGCUAAGGUCCCAAAGUUGUGGUUAAGUGGUAAACGAUGUGGGAAGGCUUAGACAGCUAGGAGGUUGGCUUAGAAGCAGCCAUCCUUUAAAGAAAGCGUAAUAGCUCACUAGUCGAGUCGGCCUGCGCGGAAGAUGUAACGGGGCUCAAACCACACACCGAAGCUGCGGGUGUCACGUAAGUGACGCGGUAGAGGAGCGUUCUGUAAGCCUGUGAAGGUGAGUUGAGAAGCUUGCUGGAGGUAUCAGAAGUGCGAAUGCUGACAUGAGUAACGACAAUGGGUGUGAAAAACACCCACGCCGAAAGACCAAGGGUUCCUGCGCAACGUUAAUCGACGCAGGGUUAGUCGGUUCCUAAGGCGAGGCUGAAAAGCGUAGUCGAUGGGAAACAGGUUAAUAUUCCUGUACUUCUGGUUACUGCGAUGGAGGGACGGAGAAGGCUAGGCCAGCUUGGCGUUGGUUGUCCAAGUUUAAGGUGGUAGGCUGAAAUCUUAGGUAAAUCCGGGGUUUCAAGGCCGAGAGCUGAUGACGAGUCGUCUUUUAGAUGACGAAGUGGUUGAUGCCAUGCUUCCAAGAAAAGCUUCUAAGCUUCAGGUAACCAGGAACCGUACCCCAAACCGACACAGGUGGUCGGGUAGAGAAUACCAAGGCGCUUGAGAGAACUCGGGUGAAGGAACUAGGCAAAAUGGCACCGUAACUUCGGGAGAAGGUGCGCCGGCUAGGGUGAAGGAUUUACUCCGUAAGCUCUGGCUGGUCGAAGAUACCAGGCCGCUGCGACUGUUUAUUAAAAACACAGCACUCUGCAAACACGAAAGUGGACGUAUAGGGUGUGACGCCUGCCCGGUGCCGGAAGGUUAAUUGAUGGGGUUAGCGCAAGCGAAGCUCUUGAUCGAAGCCCCGGUAAACGGCGGCCGUAACUAUAACGGUCCUAAGGUAGCGAAAUUCCUUGUCGGGUAAGUUCCGACCUGCACGAAUGGCGUAACGAUGGCGGCGCUGUCUCCACCCGAGACUCAGUGAAAUUGAAAUCGCUGUGAAGAUGCAGUGUAUCCGCGGCUAGACGGAAAGACCCCGUGAACCUUUACUGUAGCUUUGCACUGGACUUUGAGCCUGCUUGUGUAGGAUAGGUGGGAGGCUUUGAAGCGUGGACGCCAGUUCGCGUGGAGCCAUCCUUGAAAUACCACCCUGGCAUGCUUGAGGUUCUAACUCUGGUCCGUGAUCCGGAUCGAGGACAGUGUAUGGUGGGCAGUUUGACUGGGGCGGUCUCCUCCUAAAGAGUAACGGAGGAGUACGAAGGUGCGCUCAGACCGGUCGGAAAUCGGUCGCAGAGUAUAAAGGCAAAAGCGCGCUUGACUGCGAGACAGACACGUCGAGCAGGUACGAAAGUAGGUCUUAGUGAUCCGGUGGUUCUGUAUGGAAGGGCCAUCGCUCAACGGAUAAAAGGUACUCCGGGGAUAACAGGCUGAUACCGCCCAAGAGUUCAUAUCGACGGCGGUGUUUGGCACCUCGAUGUCGGCUCAUCACAUCCUGGGGCUGAAGCCGGUCCCAAGGGUAUGGCUGUUCGCCAUUUAAAGUGGUACGCGAGCUGGGUUUAGAACGUCGUGAGACAGUUCGGUCCCUAUCUGCCGUGGACGUUUGAGAUUUGAGAGGGGCUGCUCCUAGUACGAGAGGACCGGAGUGGACGAACCUCUGGUGUUCCGGUUGUCACGCCAGUGGCAUUGCCGGGUAGCUAUGUUCGGAAAAGAUAACCGCUGAAAGCAUCUAAGCGGGAAACUUGCCUCAAGAUGAGAUCUCACUGGGAACUUGAUUCCCCUGAAGGGCCGUCGAAGACUACGACGUUGAUAGGCGAAAGU